AGUGAACGCUGGCGGUGGGCCUAACACAUGCAAGUCGAACGAACACACAGUAAGAGCUUGCCCUUACGGGUGGCGAGUGACGGGCGGGUGAGGCGUACAUAGGAAUCUAAUUUUUCGGGGGGGAUAACGUGGGGCCGCUUACGAUACUACCGCAUACGUCCUACGGGAGAAAGCAAGAGAUCUUCACACCUUGGGCGAUAGUAUGAGCCGGUGUCGGAUUAGCUAGUUGGCGGGGUAAAGGCCCACCAAGGCAACGAUGCGUAGCUGGCCUGAGAGGAUGAUCAGCCACACUGGAACUGAGACACGGUCCAGACUCCUACGGGAGGCAGCAGUGGGGAAUAUUGGACAAUGGGCGCAAGCCUGAUCCAGCCAUGCCGCGUGAGUGAAGAAGGUCUUCGGGUUGUAAAGCCCUUUUGUUGGGAAAGAAAAGCUGUAGGAGUAAACCUCGCUGUUCUGACGGUACCUAAAGAGAAAGCCCCGGCUAACUUCGUG
rnacentral:rRNA from 1 species